AAGAAGCAGCAGAAGAGAGAUUAAGGGGAGAAAGAAGAGAGAAGAAGAGAGAAAGAAAAGAGAGAAUGACAGAGAGAAUUGUAGGAAGUUUUGAUGAUUGUAUUUGAAAUUUUGCAUAAGCUUUUCCAUACAUCAUUCUGGGUACAAUUCCUUCUUUUCUACCUGUCUCUUAAAUCUGGACAAAGGACAAUAACAGAAAAGCAAAAACAGUAGCAGAAAAGCAUAACAGAAAAGCAAAUUUGCUAGAGGCAGUACACUAGCAAAGACCAUCUAUAACUAAUCUGGAAUUCACUAAUACUAAUUAACCCACAGUUUUAUUUUGUGAGAUGACUAAUUAACCCACAGUUAACUAGAGUAACUGAGGUUUGAUAUGCUGACCUGUAGCCACUCAUUUCAUUACUGUUUGAGGGUGUUAGCGCCUCUGGUACAACCUCUAAAACAUUGUAGUCUCAUUUCCGUUACUAUUCUAUCGUAAUAAGAUAAACUGUUCUCUUUUAUUCCGUUUCUUAACUCCACCUCGCUCAAACAGACCUCUUCUCCUUUUUUCCAGUGAGAGCCUAAAGGUUGAUGGAAGUAAAAUAACAGUUUCUUUCUUC
rnacentral:lncRNA from 1 species